UGGAUUUGACAUCCUUUGACCGUCCCGGAAACGGGAAAUUUCCGACUUGUCGGAACAGAGUGACAGGUGCUGCAUGGCUGUCGUCAGCUCGUGUCGUGAGAUGUUGGGUUAAGUCCCGCAACGAGCGCAACCCUUGUCUUUAGUUGCCAGUAUUAAGUUAGGAACUCUAAAGAGACUGCCUCGGUUAACGGGGAGGAAGGUGGGGAUGACGUCAAGUCCUCAUGGCCUUUAUAUCCAGGGCUACACACGUGCUACAAUGGGCUGUACAAAGGGUUGCUAAUCUGUGAAGAUACGCUAAUCCCAAAAAGCAGUUCUCAGUUCGAAUUGAAGUCUGCAACUCGACUUCAUGAAG
rnacentral:rRNA from 1 species